AGUGGCGGACGGGUGAGUAACGCGUGGGCAACCUGCCCCAUACAGGGGGAUAACAGCCGGAAACGGCUGCUAAAACCGCAUAAGCGCACAAGGGCCGCAUGGCCUGGUGUGAAAAACUCCGGUGGUAUGGGAUGGGCCCGCGUCUGAUUAGCUAGUUGGCGGGGGAGAGGCCCACCAAGGCGACGAUCAGUAGCCGACCUGAGAGGGUGGCCGGCCACAUUGGGACUGAGACACGGCCCAAACUCCUACGGGAGGCAGCAG
rnacentral:rRNA from 1 species